GCGAUGGUGGGAUAGUGGUUAGCAUAGUUGCCUUCCAAGCAAUUGACCCGAGUUCGAUUAUCGGCUAUCGCA
rfam:Daphnia pulex DAPPTscaffold_390_Cont9286, whole genome shotgun sequence.